GACGAAGAAAAGAUUGGCCAAAAUGGCAAGUUCCAGAAGGAAGAAGCAAUGACGAUAUCUGGGGAAUAAGCAUCGACUAACUCUGUGCCAGCGGCCGCGGUAAUACAGAGGAUGC
rnacentral:ncRNA from 1 species